CACCAAUUAGCUCAGUGGGCUAGAGCAUGGUGCUAGUAACACCAGGGUUUUGAGUUCAAUCCCUGAAUGAGCCA